rnacentral:miRNA from 9 species
CCAAGUAUCAAACAUGUCACU